AAUAGAUACCCCGGUAGUCCACGCCGUAAACGAUGAGUGCUAAGUGUUAGAGGGUUUCCGCCCUUUAGUGCUGAAGUUAACGCAUUAAGCACUCCGCCUGGGGAGUACGGCCGCAAGGCUGAAACUCAAAGGAAUUGACGGGGGCCCGCACAAGCGGUGGAGCAUGUGGUUUAAUUCGAAGCAACGCGAAGAACCUUACCAGGUCUUGACAUCCUCUGACAACCCUAGAGAUAGGGCUUCUCCUUCGGGAGCAGAGUGACAGGUGGUGCGUGGUUGUCGUCAGCUCGUGUCGUGAGAUGUUGGGUUAAGUCCCGCAACGAGCGCAACCCUUGAUCUUAGUUGCCAUCAUUAAGUUGGGCACUCUAAGGUGACUGCCGGUGACAAACCGGAGGAAGGUGGGGAUGACGUCAAAUCAUCAUGCCCCUUAUGACCUGGGCUACACACGUGCUACAAUGGACGGUCAAAGAGCUGCAAGACCGCGAGGUGGAGCUAAUCUCAUAAAAACCGUUCUCAGUUCGGAUUGUAGGCUGC
rnacentral:rRNA from 1 species